CAGUAGCCACGGGAACACGGAGGGUGCAAGCGUUAAUCGGAAUUACUGGGCGUAAAGCGUGCGUAGGCGGUUCGUUAAGUCUGCUGUGAAAGCCCCGGGCUCAACCUGGGAAUGGCAAUGGAUACUGGCGAGCUAGAGUGUGUCAGAGGAUGGUGGAAUUCCCGGUGUAGCGGUGAAAUGCGUAGAGAUCGGGAGGAACAUCAGUGGCGAAGGCGGCCAUCUGGGACAACACUGACGCUGAGGCACGAAAGCGUGGGGAGCAAACAGGAUUAGAUACCCCAGUAGUCCUGUCUCUUAUACA
rnacentral:rRNA from 1 species